GAUUGAAACUUCGGUUCCCGUACGAUCACCGAAGUUAAGCAACAUCGUGUCUAGUCAGGACUUACAUAGGUGACCGCUUUGAAAUACUAAGUGCUGUAA